rnacentral:rRNA from 1 species
UACGAAGGGGGCUAGCGUUGCUCGGAAUCACUGGGCGUAAAGCGCGCGUAGGCGGGCUCUUAAGUCGGUGGUGAAAUCCUGGAGCUCAACUCCAGAACUGCCUUCGAUACUGAGAGUCUUGAGUCCGGUAGAGGUGAGUGGAACUGCGAGUGUAGAGGUGAAAUUCGUAGAUAUUCGCAAGAACACCAGUGGCGAAGGCGGCUCACUGGCCCGGUACUGACGCUGAGGUGCGAAAGCGUGGGGAGCAAACAGG